CCAGUUUGACGGAAGGAGCGGCGCGGCGGUGGCGGAGUAGAAUGGAGGCGGCGGUGUUCGUCUUCUCUCUCCUUGACUGUUGCGCGCUUAUCUUCCUCUCAGUGUACUUCAUAAUUACAUUGUCUGAUUUAGAAUGUGAUUACAUUAAUGCUAGAUCAUGUUGCUCAAAAUUAAACAAGUGGGUAAUUCCAGAAUUGGUUGGCCAUACUGUUGUCACUGUAUUAAUGCUCAUUUCAUUGCACUGGUUCAUCUUCCUUCUCAACUUGCCUGUUGCCACUUGGAAUAUAUAUCGGUUCAUUAUGGUGCCAAGUGGUAACAUGGGAGUGUUUGAUCCAACAGAAAUACACAAUCGAGGGCAGCUGAAGUCACACAUGAAAGAAGCCAUGAUCAAGCUUGGUUUCCACCUGCUCUGUUUCUUCAUGUAUCUUUAUAGUUGUUGAAUUUAAAGCAGUGGGAAGAUGGACUGAAGACUGGGGAUUGGAGGAAUCAGGAAGCAAUUUUGGGGCAGGUUUAAGUAUGAUUUUAGCUUUGAUAAAUGACUGAAGCUGGAGAAGCCGUAGUUGAAGUCAGCCCACACUACAGUGCACAGUUGAGGAGCCAGAGACGACUUAAAUCAUCCUUAGAACCAUGACUAUAGCAGUAUAUUUUUUCCUCUUUGAACAAAAAAUAUUUUUGCUGUAUUUUUACCAUAUAAAGUAUUUAAAAAACA